rnacentral:lncRNA from 1 species
AUUGGGCCAUGUGAUAAGUGAGCCCAAAUUCUUUAAUACCCAUUCUUUAUUUAAACUAGCCCAUCUCCCUACCCAACCCCAAACCGGGUCGACCCGACCCAACCCACUACCCAAAAACAAAGCCUAGACCUAAUACACAAAUACACACUACACAUAAUAGAUAAACACGCCUGGAAGAAGGGCUGUGCAGCCUGGCUUCUUCUGAACAAUACACACAAUGGAUACACAUAGAGACGCUUGAGACAUUCGAAAAGCUGCGCAGCUUUUACAAAACCCUCCCUUGACGAUCUCUCUUCCUCUUCGACCAAAGGACCCCUGAACCUGAUCUCCAACCAUUUACAAGCCCUAGCGACCAUCCACCCUCCCGUCAGCACUUUCUCUUUUCGAUUUCACAAGGCCAUUCACACACCAACACCCUUGCGAAGGCAUCUGGCGACCAGUACACGCACAGAAUCGCCGACUCCACUAGCGACGACCACCCGUCGCCACAGUUUCUUAUUCUUCAUCAAUCACUGCUACAACGGCCAUGGAACCUGCUUGAAUCCUCCGUGAAGUAGUGCGAACUUGACCAGAAACAGGAGCAAAAUUCCAUCUCGAAAUCAUUCUUAUGCGUGCUCAAAAAAGAGCUAAAAACAGUAGAAAAAUAAAUAGCAAUAUAGUGAGAGGGGACGGGGGUCUAAGGCUCCAUUCCAGUCUUUCAUUUUCUGAUUCUGUUUUUAUUUUUAUUCAUAAAAAUAGAAACACAAAAAAGAGGAUCCGUUUGCUGCUUCUUAAACUUGAAAAGAUGCAUUUCAGUUGUUAAUUUUGAUUUCCUCUCGUGGAGUUUGAUUUGCAAUCGGUGAGGUCGAGUUUAAUGAAAUACAGAGGAGGGCUUUGGGUUGGUUUAGCACGUGUGUUAGGAGCCGUUGAGUUUGACUUGAGUGGAGGUCGUUUUGUUGAGGUUUCCGAUGAGGCAUUUCCAUAGGGAUCUUGUCCGGGGCUUCGACAUCUAGGAUACAAUACAAAGGUCCAUUUCUAUCCUUCUCCUUUAAUAAAUUCAAGAGGCUUGUGGUACUACCUAGUGUUUUUGGCUUGGAUGAAUUUGUCUUCUUGGUAUGUUGGUUAUUAUUUUUUGUUAAUUUUCCAUGUUGGUGAUGUAAUAAUGUUGUUUGAAAAUCAUUACGUGAGUUUCAUGUUUGCCUUUGUUUGAUAGGCUUUAAUUGUUCUAUUUAUUAAUAUUUCUUGUGUGAUUUGUCUGGUAUAUUUUGUUUGAAAUCAGUUUGAAGUCUCUAAGAAUGUUUAUUUCUAUUU